rnacentral:tRNA from 1 species
GGCGACGAUGCGCCGGGACAGAUUGUGCGCGCCAUUGCGCUGGCGAACGCGCGGGCGAGUGUGAUUAAUCGUCGGGCGCGGCGGCGGCUCGCUG